rnacentral:rRNA from 1 species
GCUCAUGGCUCAGGAUGAACGCUAGCGACAGGCUUAACACAUGCAAGUCGAGGGGCAGCGGGGAGUAGCAAUACUCCGCCGGCGACCGGCGCACGGGUGCGUAACGCGUAUGCAACCUACCUUUAACAGGGGCAUAACACUGAGAAAUUGGUACUAAUUCCCCAUAACAUUCGAGAAGGCAUCUUCUUGGGUUAAAAACUCCGGUGGUUAAAGAUGGGCAUGCGUUGUAUUAGCUAGUUGGUGAGGUAACGG